UGAGGUUCCCUAGAGAUUAUGGGGUUGAUAGGCCAGAUCUGGAAGCACUGUGAGGUGUGGAGGUGACUGGUACUAAUUUACCGAUAACAACAAACC
rnacentral:rRNA from 1 species